CUUCAUGGCGGUCGUGCGCGGGCAGGCUUUAGCCUGGUCGGGUUUUCCCUGCGGCCCGGGUGUCACCCCUCGCACGACUGCCACCCUA
rnacentral:antisense_RNA from 1 species